rnacentral:rRNA from 1 species
CCUACGGGAGGCAGCAGUGAGGAAUAUUGGUCAAUGGGCGAGAGCCUGAACCAGCCAAGUCGCGUGAGGGAGUACUGCCCUAUGGGUUGUAAACCUCUUUUGUCGGGGAGCAAAAGCCGGACGUGUCCGGCUGUGAGAGUACCCGAAGAAAAAGCAUCGGCUAACUCCGUGCCAGCAGCCGCGGUAAUACGGAGGAUGCGAGCGUUAUCCGGAUUUGUGGGGUUUAAGGGGAGCGCAGGCGGAUUUUUAAGUCAGCGGUAAAAGCGUGGGGAUCAACCCCAUCCAGCCGUUGAAACUGGGGAUCUAGAGUGUGCGAGAGGGAUGCGGAAUGAGUGGUGUAGCGGUGAAAUGCAUAGAUAUCACGCAGAACACCGAUUGCGAAGGCAGCAUACCGGUGCACAACUGACGCUCAGGCACGAAAGCGUGGGUAUCGAACAGGAUUAGAUACCCCGGUAGUC